rnacentral:rRNA from 1 species
UACGGAGGAUGCAAGCGUUAUCCGGAUUUAUUGGGUUUAAAGGGUGCGUAGGCGGACCUUUAAGUCAGUGGUGAAAUCCUGUAGCUUAACUAUAGAACUGCCAUUGAUACUGAAGGUCUUGAGUCCAGUUGAGGUAGGCGGAAUGUGUAAUGUAGCGGUGAAAUGCUUAGAUAUUACACAGAACACCAAUUGCGUAGGCAGCUUACUAAACUGUCACUGACGCUGAGGCACGAAAGCGUGGGGAG